rnacentral:rRNA from 1 species
GACGAACGCUGGCGGCGUGCUUAACACAUGCAAGUCGAACGUGAUUAUAUUGGAAGUUUCUUCGGGAACGGAAAAUAUAUGAAAGUGGCGAACGGGUGAGUAACACGUGAGCAACCUACCUUACACAAGGGGAUAGCCGCUGGAAACGGUGAUUAAUACCCUAUGAGACCACGUAAUCGCAUGAUUGAGGGGUUAAAGAUUUAUCGGUGUAAGAUGGGCUCGCGUCUGAUUAGCUAGUUGGAAGGGUAAAGGCCUACCAAGGCGACGAUCAGUAGCCGGUCUGAGAGGAUGAACGGCCACACUGGAACUGAGACACGGUCCAGACUCCUACGGGAGGCAGCAGUGGGGAAUAUUGCACAAUGGGGGAAACCCUGAUGCAGCGACGCCGCGUGAACGAAGAAGGCUUUCGAGUCGUAAAGUUCUGUCCUAUGAGAGGAUAAUGACGGUAUCAUAGGAGGAAGCCCCGGCUAAAUACGCGCCAGCAGCCGCGGUAAUACGUAUGGGGCGAGCGUUGUCCGGAAUUAUUGGGCGUAAAGGGUACGUAGGCGGCCUUUUAAGUCAGGUGUGAAAGCGUGGGGCUUAACCCCAUUAAGCACUUGAAACUGGAGGGCUUGAGUGAAGGAGAGGAAAGUGGAAUUCCUAGUGUAGCGGUGAAAUGCGUAGAUAUUAGGAGGAAUACCGGUGGCGAAGGCGACUUUCUGGACUUUUACUGACGCUCAGGUACGAAAGCGUGGGGAGCAAACAGG